rnacentral:tRNA from 1 species
AGCGGGGUGGGGAAGUCAGACUGCUUUAGGGCGAAGUCAUCCCGGCGGGCUCAUAACCCGCAGCUCAGUAGUUCAAAUCUACUCCCCGCUA